rnacentral:tRNA from 1 species
UUUUUUAUGGCCGAGUAGGCAGCAGAUUUUUAAUCUGUGCACGGGUUAACCCUAUGCGAU